rnacentral:rRNA from 1 species
AGAGCCUGAAUCAGUGUGUGUGUUAGUGGAAGCGUCUGGAAAGGCGCGCGAUACAGGGUGACAGCCCCGUACACAAAAAUGCACAUGCUGGGAGCUCGAUGAGUAGGGCGGGACACGUGGUAUCCUGUCUGAAUAUGGGGGGACCAUCCUCCAAGGCUAAAUACUCCUGACUGACCGAUAGUGAACCAGUACCGUGAGGGAAAGGCGAAAAGAACCCCGGCGAGGGGAGUGAAAAAGAACCUGAAACCGUGUACGUACAAGCAGUGGGAGCACGCUUAGGCGUGUGACUGCGUACCUUUUGUAUAAUGGGUCAGCGACUUAUAUUCUGUAGCAAGGUUAACCGAAUAGGGGAGCCGAAGGGAAACCGAGUCUUAACUGGGCGUUAAGUUGCAGGGUAUAGACCCGAAACCCGGUGAUCUAGCCAUGGGCAGGUUGAAGGUUGGGUAACACUAACUGGAGGACCGAACCGACUAAUGUUGAAAAAUUAGCGGAUGACUUGUGGCUGGGGGUGAAAGGCCAAUCAAACCGGGAGAUAGCUGGUUCUCCCCGAAAGCUAUUUAGGUAGCGCCUCGUGAAUUCAUCUCCGGGGGUAGAGCACUGUUUCGGCAAGGGGGUCAUCCCGACUUACCAACCCGAUGCAAACUGCGAAUACCGGAGAAUGUUAUCACGGGAGACACACGGCGGGUGCUAACGUCCGUCGUGAAGAGGGAAACAACCCAGACCGCCAGCUAAGGUCCCAAAGUCAUGGUUAAGUGGGAAACGAUGUGGGAAGGCCCAGACAGCCAGGAUGUUGGCUUAGAAGCAGCCAUCAUUUAAAGAAAGCGUAAUAGCUCACUGGUCGAGUCGGCCUGCGCGGAAGAUGUAACGGGGCUAAACCAUGCACCGAAGCUGCGGCAGCGACACUAUGUGUUGUUGGGUAGGGGAGCGUUCUGUAAGCCUGUGAAGGUGUACUGUGAGGUAUGCUGGAGGUAUCAGAAGUGCGAAUGCUGACAUAAGUAACGAUAAAGCGGGUGAAAAGCCCGCUCGCCGGAAGACCAAGGGUUCCUGUCCAACGUUAAUCGGGGCAGGGUGAGUCGACCCCUAAGGCGAGGCCGAAAGGCGUAGUCGAUGGGAAACAGGUUAAUAUUCCUGUACUUGGUGUUACUGCGAAGGGGGGACGGAGAAGGCUAUGUUGGCCGGGCGACGGUUGUCCCGGUUUAAGCGUGUAGGCUGGUUUUCCAGGCAAAUCCGGAAAAUCAAGGCUGAGGCGUGAUGACGAGGCACUACGGUGCUGAAGCAACAAAUGCCCUGCUUCCAGGAAAAGCCUCUAAGCAUCAGGUAACAUCAAAUCGUACCCCAAACCGACACAGGUGGUCAGGUAGAGAAUACCAAGGCGCUUGAGAGAACUCGGGUGAAGGAACUAGGCAAAAUGGUGCCGUAACUUCGGGAGAA